AGUCUGCUAGGGACAGCUGUUUGUUGUGGGAUCACAGAUGAGAUCAGGAGAAGGACAACUGAAAGGAGAAGAGAGGAGACCAUCUCACACUGUCCAAUAUCACACUGUCCUGAUUACCAUAGUUACCAUACACAUCUUGAAAUCAGGAUCUCAUUCUGUCUGUGAACAUGGAUUCCACUUGUGUCUGAGACUUCCAGGGAUUCCAGCUCUCCCAAUUGCCUGUGUUUGGCCUUUAUGAAUGUGUUACAUUUUCAGUUGUUUCCUUCUUACCCACUUUUAUGGCUGUCAUUUCUUCCAUACAUGCUGUGCCGGAGGUGACGCAGUUUGUGUGUCUCAUCUCUCCUCAGAAUGACUUGUCACCCUUUUAUAUCAUGGAACAUAUAUCAUGGGAACAUGGCUGACUUGUUAGCUCUCUGACGAUCUAAUAAAAAACUGUAAUGUCA